ensembl:lncRNA
UGGAAAAGCUGUUAAGAGCAAUGCACACACUCUUUAACAAUGUUCCAGCGAGGAGGGAAGACUACGUGACAGUCACCAAGUCAUCAGUGUUCCCCCUAUCAUUCUGUGGACAUCGAUGGUUGGAGAACCAGACCUCUGGAGGUCUGGCCUUCACUUCAGCUGUAUGUGAAUGCGGUGAAAAGAAAGGAGCUGCCAAACCCUGGUACAGGCUCAUAUGAUACAAUAGAGGCCGCUCAAAAGGAUCCCCUGAUCUUGGCAAAGUUUAAUUUUUUCACGACCAUCGCCCGUACCUUUGACCCCUUCCUGAAAAGGUACCAGACGGAUGAGCCAGUAAUGCCAUUCCUUGCCAAAGACUUGGCUGAGUUGAUCAAGAGUGUACUGAGGCGGUUUGUGAAGCGAGAAGUCCUGCAGGACAUUACAAAACUACAGCUCACCAAGCUGGACUUGAGAGAAUUUGCUCCUCCCACAGAAAAUUGACAUUGGCCUAGCUGCAGAUAAAGCCCUGAAGGACACUAAAAUAUCAGAUCUCAGAGUCCUUGAAUUUAGAAGGCAAUGCAUUCAGGGUCUGACUAAUAUAGUCAGAAAAGUGCAGGAGAAGAGCCCACUCAAAUACGCCACUGUUAGGCAGAUGGCCUGUCUGGACCCCUCUAACAUGUUCAGAGACCCAGACAGGUGGAAGGAACAAAUGAAAUGUCUGGUGCAGACCUUUCUACAGGCCAAGCAGCUGGCAGGAGGUGUAUCUGCUGGGGAUGUCAUUCUACAACAGUUUGAGGCUCUCCUGACGCUUGAGUGUAGGAAUGAAGAGCUUUUCUCCUUCCAGCCAAUGGUAAAACGGCUGGACACCUUCUUGUGUGGCUGUUUAAGCUGUGCCUAUCCAGUGGCUUGGGCAUUUUGCCAGAAGCUGCUCCUCCUUUCUCAUGGCCAAGCUUCAGUUGAAAUGGGGUUCUCUGUGAACAAGGAGGUUGAGACUGACAAUAUGCAGGAAGAGACAAUGAUUGCACAUAGACUUGUAUGUGAUUAUGUAGAUUUGCACGGUGGGGUGACCAAAGUUCCCCUCAUAAAAGAACUGCUGGUAUCUGUGGGUGCAGCCAGGUUGAGUUACCGUAUUUUCCUUGAUCAGCAGCGUGCAAGGAAGGAGAGUGAAGCAUGGACACAGAAAAGAAAGCUGGCAAAGGAGUAUUUGACCAACCUUAAGAGAAAGAAAACCACUGUUCAAGAGGUUUCCACCUGUCUCACCAGAGAGGCCGACAUGCUGGCAGAGUUCCUUUCAAACUCGAACGCCCUCAGGUGGGCAAGCAAGGAGAAAUUGGCUGAGCUGAAAAAGGUUGAGGAGGAGAUCACCAUUAAAGGGGACGAACUGAGAAAAAUGUAGAUAGACACUGACUGACUUGUUAUUUUGGAAAGUAAUUCCAUAAAAUAAUUGUUAAUUUACAAUGUUACUUUACAAUGUUACAAUUGUUAAGUCUUGUUCUUGAUACUCAACUCGCACUCUUAAGAAAUUGGAACCUUAAAAUAAUAAAACUUG